rnacentral:ncRNA from 1 species
AAAAAGUUUUAUUUUAGCUUAAAUUAUAAGUAAAUAAUUUAUUUUAUAUGUAAAUUUUUGUGUUUAUAAGAAUAAUUUUUAAUAAAUUUUUUUUUUCAAUAAAUUGCAGUAAUUAAAUUUAAUUAUUAAAGAAAUUUAGAAUUAGAAAUUUAUUAAAAUAUUAACUAAAUUUGUGCCAGCAGUUGCGGUUAAACAAAUAAUAUAUUUUAUAAUUUUUAAUAAGUAAUUAAAUGAUUUAAUUUAAUUUAUAAGAUAAUUUAUUAAGUGAAAUUUUAAUUUAUUAAUAAUUAAAUAAAAAUUUUUGAAGUUAUUAAAUUUUAUGAAAAACUAGGAUUAGAUACCCUAUUAUUAAAAUGUAAAAAUUUAUAUUAGAUUAUUAUUAGUUAUAAUCUUUAAAAUUAAAAAUUUUGGCGGUAUUUUAGUCUUUUUAGAGGAACCUGUUCUGUAAUUGAUAAUCCACGAUUAGAGCUACUUAUUUUAUUAAUUUGUAUAUCGUUGUAAUUGAAUAUUUUAUUAGAAUCUAAAUUUUCAUAAUUUUUAAAAAAGAAAUAAAUCAAAUCAAGGUGCAGUUUAUAAAUAAGAAGAAAUGGGUUACAAUAAAAAUAUUUUUGGUUUAAUAAUUUUAAAUUAUUAAUAAACUGGAUUUAAGUGUAAUUUGAUUUAUAUAGGUUAAAUGAUUAAAGCCCUGAAAUAUGCACAUAUCGCCCGUCGCUCUCGUUUAAAAUGAGAUAAGUCGUAACAAAGUAAAUGUACUGGAAAGUGUAUUUAGGUAGCA